AACGAACGCUGGCGGCGCGCCUAAUACAUGCAAGUCGAGCGAGAAGACGUAGCAAUACGUUUGUAAAGCGGCGAACGGGUGAGGAAUACAUGGGUAACCUACCCUCGAGUGGGGAAUAACUAGCCGAAAGGUUAGCUAAUACCGCGUACGCUCCUCGGACUUCGGUUCAGGGAGGAAAGCGAUACCGUGGGUAUCGCGCUCUUGGAUGGGCUCAUGUCCUAUCAGCUUGUUGGGAGGUAACGGCUCACCAAGGCUUCGACGGGUAGCUGGUCUGAGAGGACGAUCAGCCACACUGGCACUGCGACACGGGCCAGACUCCUACGGGAGGCAGCAGUAAGGAAUAUUGCGCAAUGGGCGAAAGCCUGACGCAGCGACGCCGCGUGGGGGAUGAAGGUCUUCGGAUUGUAAACCCCUUUCGGGAGGGAAGAUGGAACGAGCAAUCGUUCGGACGGUACCUCCAGAA
rnacentral:rRNA from 1 species